rnacentral:rRNA from 1 species
UACGUAGGGUGCAAGCGUUGUCCGGAUUUAUUGGGCGUAAAGAGCUUGUAGGCGGUUUGUCGCGUCUGCUGUGAAAUUUCGGGGCUCAACUCCGAACUUGCCGUGGGUACGGGCAGACUAGAGUGUGGUAGGGGAGACUGGAAUUCCUGGUGUAGCGGUGAAAUGCGCAGAUAUCAGGAGGAACACCGAUGGCGAAGGCAGGUCUCUGGGCCAUAACUGACGCUGAGAAGCGAAAGCAUGGGGAGCGAACAGG